CUCUCUCUCUCUCUCUCUCUCUCUCUCUCUCAGUAGGGGCAGUUAGCAAGGGGAACGCAGUUGUGGUUGUCGGGGUGGAAGACUGUCCCCACGGCGCAAGACUCGACGUCCUGGUAGGUGCCGGUCGCCGCCUCGCAGUGGUAGUAGUCAGCCGUGCACUGGUUGGGGCACCUGGCGAAGUAGCCGACGGAGACACAGGUGAAGGGGUCGAUGCAGCCGUCGGCGCCCACCACGUUGAAGCACGACACCUGUGUGCUGCACGGGGCCGUGGUGGAACACCCGUUGAGGAAGGAGUCGAAGUUCUCCCCGUCGGGACACGUGCCGUGCGUGGUGGGCACCGCAGAAGGAGUUGUGCAGAGGUAGUAGCCCCGGCAGUCCAGCGGGUCGGGGAUGACCUUGCCCGUGUCCCCGCAUAGCAGUAAGAGUGGCAGUGGCAGCAGAGCCUCUCGUCAGUCUGGCACUCCUCGCCGUUAAAGAAGGGAGUGGAUGCAUCGCAGGUCCCAGAUCCUGAUACUACGUCUCCAU